UACGUAGGGUGCGAGCGUUGUCCGGAAUUAUUGGGCGUAAAGGGCUCGUAGGCGGUUUGUCGCGUCGGGAGUGAAAACCUCGGGCUUAACUCGGGGCUUGCUUUCGAUACGGGCAGACUAGAGGUAUGCAGGGGAGAACGGAAUUCCUGGUGUAGCGGUGAAAUGCGCAGAUAUCAGGAGGAACACCGGUGGCGAAGGCGGCUUGCUGGGCCAGUUCUGACGCUGAGGAGCGAAAGCGUGGGGAGCGAACAGG
rnacentral:rRNA from 1 species